UACGUAGGUGGCAAGCGUUGUCCGGAAUUAUUGGGCGUAAAGCGCGCGCAGGCGGUUCCUUAAGUCUGAUGUGAAAGCCCCCGGCUCAACCGGGGAGGGUCAUUGGAAACUGGGGAACUUGAGUGCAGGAGAGGAAAGCGGAAUUCCACGUGUAGCGGUGAAAUGCGUAGAUAUGAUGGAGGAACACCAGUGGCGAAGGCGGCUUUCUGGUCUGUAACUGACGCUGAGGCGCGAAAGCGUGGGGAGCAAACAGG
rnacentral:rRNA from 1 species